GAUGAACGCUGGCGGCGUGCCUAAUACAUGCAAGUCGAGCGAACAGACGAGGAGCUUGCUGCUCUGACGUUAGCGGCGGACGGGUGAGUAACACGUGGAUAACCUACCUAUAAGACUGGGAUAACUUCGGGAAACCGGAGCUAAUACCGGAUAAUAUAUUGAACCGCAUGGUUCAAUAGUGAAAGACGGUUUUGCUGUCACUUAUAGAUGGAUCCGCGCCGCAUUAGCUAGUUGGUAAGGUAACGGCUUACCAAGGCGACGAUGCUUAGCCGACCUGAGAGGGUGGUCGGCCACACGGGAACUGAGACACGGUCCAGACUCCUACGGGAGGCAGCAGUAGGGAAUCUUCCGCAAUGGGCGAAAGCCUGACGGAGCAACGCCGCGUGAGUGAUGAAGGUCUUCGGAUCGUAAAACUCUGUUAUUAGGGAAGAACAAAUGUGUAAGUAACUAUGCACGUCUUGACGGUACCUAAUCAGAAAGCCACGGCUAACUACGUG
rnacentral:rRNA from 1 species